UGCAUUUUUUUGUUCUUUUCAUUUGUCUUUCUUAUAUUUUGAUACGUUUCUAGAGACUGUUUUGCGGAAUUUAUUGUUAUGGUUCUCUUUAACACAGGAAAUAUUUUCCGUCGAGUGUCUUUGAAAGAUUGAAGCUAAAUAUGUUACAUUAUGAAUUACUAGACGAAGUUCUAAAUUGUCUAUUUCAAAACACACUACAAGUACACGAUUCGGUGGCAAUGUCAAAAGUCAAAAUCGAAACAAUUUCAGGUGCUUAAAUUUACGAUAAAUAUACAUUUAGAAAUGGAGGAUACAACAACACAGCAGAAAAAUAAGACGACUAUAGUAAAAGAUGAAAUCGACGGAAAGUAUUACGACGCGAUCAGCUAUAAAACCCACGACGGCUUAUGUUGUGUCUGUCACAAAACUCCGCUGCAAACGAGAAUCUACCACAGCCAUUUAUUUUGCACCGAAUGUUUUCAUAAGUACAUAUGGACAGCACCGAAAAGAGACUGUUCGGGAGACGUGGAUAAGCCACAGGGAAAUAAUUGAAGCAAAUCGAGAAGUAAACUGUUCCACUUAAAAACAAUUUGUGAAAAAGUUGCAAUUCUCUUGUGUGGGCUUAAAUAAAAUUUCAUGUGUAAUAUCGUUCAUAAAAUUGA